CGGCCGUUUUCAAUAACGUAUCUGAGUUUUCGGAUAGAUAGCUAUCUCCGAAUAUCAGCAAGAGCGUAUCUGUCCUUAGUUUGCGUUUCACAAUCACGGAUAAGUGCUAUCUCUCUUUAACCAACAGUAGAUAGCUUCUUCCCUCCGAUUUAUCCGAGCCUCUUGAUACGUUUCGUUCUACUACAAAUACGAAACAACAUCAGGAUCAAGACUUAUUUUAUUUUAUUCUAAAUUAUAACUAUAAUUUAACCAGCAUAUUGUAGACUAUCAUAAACACAUUUGUUUAUAACAAAAAGUAAUAAAAACAUAUGUAGAUUUUUUUAAAUUGGACGUAUUGCUAUUUUUAUCCUAGUCGAAAUUAUGAAACGAAACGUUUUGACAGUCCGUUUGCCAAUAAGCAGUGAUCAGUUUCUUUUGUUUGUUUUUCUAUUGUUUACCUACUAUAUUAGAUGAUGACUUACCUCCAAAACGCUUUAAAACUUUCGUUUAUAAUUCUAAGUGUGUUUAUAAUUAAAGAGCUACAGUGAAAUAAAAUGAAUUCUUCAAGAAAGGCAGCACCCAUGACAAAAGAUGAGACGAUGAUUCUAGCAGAACUUGUGGCGGCGAAAAAACAUUUCAAUAAUAAGGCAACAAAUGCCACAAACAAUAAAUUGAAGGAGCAGGCUUGGCAAACCCUUGUAAAUGAUUUUAAUUCGUCGAUUCGUCGUUUCCCACGAACUCCAUCGCAGCUUCGACUAAAAUAGGAAAACUUAAAGAACGCUACGGCAACAUAAGAAACAACCUUAGUAAGGCUGGAGGUGGUAAGGAUUGCAGAUGAAAUUUUGGAUAAAGCAUGCACAUUGUUGUAGGUCACAUAUAAUAUUUUUAACACUUUUACAGCCAAGCGGAAACAAGAUGGAAGAAAAGAAAUGCAAGGCUAGCAUAGGGACAAUGCAUUAGCAGAAUAUCUAAUAGCAAAAAAGAGACUUGACUUGGAAAAUAAAGAAAAGGAGAUUGUUGUAGCAAAAGUUAAGUUAGAUUUAGAUAAUUUAAAAAAUUAAAAAUUACUUAAAAGGAAUAUUAAAUUUCCUAAAUUAAGUAGGCAAUAAUAAUUUUAUUUUAGAUAGUUUUUAAGUAUAUGUACAAAUUCUAAAUUAAAUAUCUUGCAUGUACUAACUACCAUGUAAUUAUCAUUUUGGAAAAUAAAAAAUAGUCAAAUUA